rnacentral:rRNA from 1 species
CCUACGGGAGACAGCAGUGGGGAAUAUUGCACAAUGGGCGCAAGCCUGAUGCAGCCAUGCCGCGUGUAUGAAGAAGGCCUUCGGGUUGUAAAGUACUUUCAGCGGGGAGGAAGGGAGUAAAGUUAAUACCUUUGCUCAUUGACGUUACCCGCAGAAGAAGCACCGGCUAACUCCGUGCCAGCAGCCGCGGUAAUACGGAGGGUGUAAGCGUUAAUCGGAAUUACUGGGCGUAAAGCGCACGCAGGCGGUUUGUUAAGUCAGAUGUGAAAUCCCCGGGCUCAACCUGGGAACUGCAUCUGAUACUGGCAAGCUUGAGUCUCGUAGAGGGGGGUAGAAUUCCAGGUGUAGCGGUGAAAUGCGUAGAGAUCUGGAGGAAUACCGGUGGCGAAGGCGGCCCCCUGGACGAAGACUGACGCUCAGGUGCGAAAGCGUGGGGAGCAAACAGGAUUAGAUACCCUGGUAGUCCACGCCGUAAACGAUGUCGACUUGGAGGUUGUGCCCUUGAGGCGUGGCUUCCGGAGCUAACGCGUUAAGUCGACCGCCUGGGGAGUCGGCCGCAAGGUUAAACUCAAAGGAAUUGACGGCUGAGACGNGCGAGGACGACGACGAGGAGGAGG